UGAGUGAUCAUUGAAUUCCAUGUUUUUGGACUAAACUUGGAUAGGGCAGAGUUUAUACAUAAAUUGACGGAAAGGUGGCUCUUCAUUUAAUAAUUGGAUGUAGUUCAGAAACAAUGUUUGUAAUCGAGUAAACAGUAUCAGUAACUACUCUUUCUAUAGUUAGCAUCUAUUAAAUCAUUUUUGAUGUUGGCAGAUUAUUGCCACAAGGGCAAGGCUAACACAGGCUGCUUAGUGUCAGGCCAGUAAGGACUCCACAGCAAGAUCCUCUCAAAAAGAAGAUGACGGUGAUGACAGCGAUGAUUUUUACACUUUCUUCUCUUCCUUACCAUGUUUGUUAACACUAAACAUUUAGAACCUAAAGAAAACCUAGGCCCUAAUUUCUGCCCUCUGUGGUUCUGUGGGGUCUCUAUCUCACAUGGAGAAAAAUAUAUUUCAACCAAGGGCUGUAGUAGAUGAGACAGACCCUGCUCUGUUGUGUUGAGAAGAUUUUAAACAUAAACUUUAUAUAAUUGUAUUAUGUAACCAAACACCACAAAGGUUUCAUUGUUUUAUUACCGAUUUUUAGUGCACUUCAAAAUAAGUCACCCAAUACCUUAUUUAAAUUUUAAAAAUGUAUUUAAUAUUUACAUGUAAUGGAAUUCACAUAUAUUGUAUAAAUUUGCUGAUUUUUUUUUUAAUGAUUGUAUAAUCCACAUCCUUCUCAAAAUUGAAAGCAUUGGAAUCAUCCAUUCCCAGCCCACACAGGCAUCACCUACACCCACUGUCAUUCCACCAUGUUCCAGACCGAACUCCUUAGCACGAUGACGAUGACGACUGUGGAGCACCCACGUUGGAGCAUCACUUGUUCAUUACUUUUUAUUCCUGAACCUUUUAUAUGAAUAUACCAGUUUGUCUUUCCGUCUCCCCAUUGAUGGGCUAUUUCUGCUAUUUUUUUUCUUACUGUUAUGAAUAAAGCUGCUCUGGUCACUU
rnacentral:lncRNA from 1 species